rnacentral:rRNA from 1 species
AUGCCGUUUUCUUCGCCCUUCUUCCGUUUGAUCUUAUGUUUGCUUGUGUCUCCAUGUGCCUUCUAUGUGCUUGCAUCUUUGCUUGCUAAAUCUAUUGAUAUGGAUCCACUUAAAGUUUUCGACAUGGAUCAUCUUCGAUCCUUAUGCGCUCGUGCUGAAACCCCAACUAGCCGAGUUGAUGGGAAAUCAUUAGAUGAGCAUGCUCAUUUUCUGCGUCAUCGUGUGUCUCAAAAAGGGGUACUUUUAUGGGAUCAAAUAAACCGUUUGUUGUGUUAUGCUUGGAAUCUUUGUGAAAUUUGUGAUUUUACUUGUUGCUCUAAGAACCCUAAAAAACACCUUCCCUACCUAUGUGAGUUUAAUGAUAAUGAAAUCUUAUCUUCUUAUGCAAAGGGUCUUUAUAGUUAA